GCUGGGAUGGCUCAGUCAGUAGAGUGUGUGGCUCUUAAUCUCAAGCUCAUUGGUUCGAACCCCACAUUGGGCA